rnacentral:rRNA from 1 species
UAAUACGGGGGGAGCAAGCGUUGUUCGGAUUUACUGGGCGUAAAGGGCGCGUAGGCGGUCGUGACAAGUCACUUGUGAAAUCUCCGGGCUUAACUCGGAACGGUCAAGUGAUACUGUCGGACUAGAGUACAGAAGGGGCAACUGGAAUUCUCGGUGUAGCGGUGAAAUGCGUAGAUAUCGAGAGGAACACCUGCGGCGAAGGCGGGUUGCUGGGCUGAUACUGACGCUGAGGCGCGAAAGCCAGGGGAGCGAACGGGAUUAGAUACCCCGGUAGUCCUGGCCUUAAACGAUGAAUGCUUGGGGAGUAUGGUCGCAAGGCUG